GGGCCGUUAGCUCAGUUGGUAGAGCAGGAGACUCUUAAUCUCAAGGUCGAAGGUUCGAGCCCUUCACGGCCCA
rnacentral:tRNA from 1 species